CAACAUUUUUCCUGGUGGAAUUCACAUCAUUCGAGAUGAUGUUUUCAUUGUAGUUUUAAAUUAAUUAAAAUCUUGCAUUUUGGCAACGAGGCUGGCCGAGAAGGGAUGUUGGCUUCUUGGCUAUCUAACAGCCUGACAUUUUGGCCCUUUGUUCAAGUCAUGCUCCAUUCUGGGUAGCACUUAGCAUUAUUGCAUUGCAGCGAAUCGAAGUGAAUAGAAUUGAAUUAUUUGGCGAGUGAGUGCUUUACUCUGCGUCUUUUUAUGCUUGGCUGCUGCUGCUCCCAGUUUUGCCUCUUCUGCUGCUUUUUUCAUACUCUGUUCAAAAAGUGAAAACGCGCUUAUUGGUUUUGUGCAAUGUUCGUCUGCCUGUCAAGAACUUACACCUUCAAGAUGCACAAAAAUUGGCGAGUUGCAACAAUCUUUGACUUUCACAGUAUUAGAGAGAAUCAUGGUGCCCAAAGUUCAAGCCGCAAACAGAGUAUGCUGCAGU
rnacentral:sRNA from 1 species